GUACACUCCUGCGGGAGGCAGCAGUGAGGAAUAUUGGACAAUGGGUGGAAGCCUGAUCCAGCCAUCCCGCGUGCAGGAAGACGGCCCUAUGGGUUGUAAACUGCUUUUAUCUGGGGAUAAACCUACUUACGUGUAAGUAGCUGAAGGUACCAGAAGAAUAAGCACCGGCUAACUCCGUGCCAGCAGCCGCGGUAAUACGGAGGGUGCAAGCGUUAUCAGGAUUUAUUGGGUUUAAAGGGUCCGUAGGCGGACUGAUAAGUCAGUGGUGAAAUCCGACAGCUUAACUGUCGAACUGCCAUUGAUACUGUUAGUCUUGAGUAAGGUUGAAGUGGCUGGAAUAAGUAGUGUAGCGGUGAAAUGCAUAGAUAUUACUUAGAACACCAAUUGCGAAGGCAGGUCACUAAGUCUUAACUGACGCUGAUGGACGAAAGCGUGGGGAGCGAACAGGAUUAGAAACCCGAGUAGUCCCAUGA
rnacentral:rRNA from 1 species